CAGUAGCCGCGGUAAUACGAAGGGUGCAAGCGUUACUCGGAAUUACUGGGCGUAAAGCGUGCGUAGGUGGUGGUUUAAGUCCGUUGUGAAAGCCCUGGGCUCAACCUGGGAAUUGCAGUGGAUACUGGGUCACUAGAGUGUGGUAGAGGAUAGUGGAAUUUCCGGUGUAGCAGUGAAAUGCGUAGAGAUCGGAAGGAACAUCUGUGGCGAAGGCGACUAUCUGGGCCAACACUGACACUGAGGCACGAAAGCGUGGGGAGCAAACAGGAUUAGAUACCCCUGUAGUCCCUGUCUCUUAUAA
rnacentral:rRNA from 1 species